GCCAGAGGGUGCACAUUCGUCCAUCUCUGUUCUCUCGUGCUCUGCUGCAUCCCUGAACAUCCCAGUCGGGCAGCCUGAGCCAGCAUUUGGCACGAGCCAGUCCCAGCUCAACCCCCAGGUCUGUUGUUGGGGUUGGUCACGCACUUGUCGUGUGAGAUUAUUAUUGUCUGUCCUGGAAACAGCACCAGGAAUAGCAGCAGGGCUUAACACAGGCAGCCACUGCCCCAAACUGCUCCCCACGUGGGAGAUCCCCCCUUCCCCACAGGAAGGGACAUCCCAUGGAGAGGCAGUCCCUGGAUAACUGGGCCUGGGGUCUCCAGGACCUGUCCCAGGGUGGCAAAUCCCCCAGGGCUGCAGGGACCAGGCUCAGCCCCGGGAUGGGACUCACAGGGUGGCUGCUGCCUUAGUGUGGUGGCAGAGCUAAAAGCAGCAGAGGGAACCAGUCUGGCUUCCUCUGGGGUUAGUAAAGCUCCUGUUGAUCCCAGUGCUGAAGGAAAAGGCCUGGAGUAUCCAGCUGGAUCAUUGUGAUGGCAGAGGCAGAGCAGGGACCUCUCCCUGUGCCAAAGAUGCUCGUGAGAAACUCAAUCCCUGCCUCGGGGAGAUGGUUAUUGUAACAUCUCUCUUUGCCCGAGGACAGUUCUCUUCCUCCUUUUAAGUUAUUAACAUGGAAUUAUCAAUGCCCAUAAUCUGGUUUGUUGUUAGCUCCUAGCAGGGCUCACAGCACAUGGAUUUCCAAAGGAUUCAGUACAAACAGGAGCAGAUUGAUGCCCAGGACUGAGGCAGAGGAUGAAUCAGCACUAUCUGAGGCACAGAUUUAAGGAUGAUGGGGGUACCAGCAGCACUUGGAGGAGCAGUUCAGGGGCAUGGGUGGAUGUGUAGCUCUGACACACAGUCAGGAGACCAGCAGCUGCAGGAAAAGGAGGAUGGAUUCAGGACACACCUGGCCUGGAACAACCUGAAACCCAGUGUGCAGCCAGACCAGUGAAUAAAAGGUCACGGGAGGAGGCUGGGAUUGCCACUCUGAAUUCCUGAACAGCAGAAGCCACAGGACUUAAUUCUCCCUUUCAGCAAGACACCCAGGCUCAGCUUAAAUAUUUCCACUGCUGGGGGAUCCAACCCAGUUCUUGAUAAAUUGCUCCAAUGGCCAAUUACCCUCAUUCCUGAAAACCUCAGUCUAUUCUGAGUUGAAUUUAUCCAGCUUCAUCUUUCAGGAACUGGAUGUGAUCUUUGUCUCCCAGGUUGCAGAGCCUCUUUUGGUCAAGCUGCUGCUCCUGUGACGCUGUGCUUUGGGUGUGGAGUGGGUGGAUUUGUUGUUGGGGAAGUCCAUGGAGCUGCCUCCCAUCACUGGCUCUGCUUGAGGGUGAGAGAAGAGAGGAUGAGGCUCCUCAUCACCCCUGAGUGCUGCACCCUCACACAGCCACCUCAAACUGCUUCAAAACGAGAACAUUAUUUUGCUUUGCAAUAGUGGGAGAAAAAAAAAAAAAAGAGAAGCCACCAAAGGCCAAGACUUCCAGAACAGGAUUCAGUGAGUAAUUUUUAGAGUGGUCAGUGCCUGCCCUACCCUCUGUGGUCAGCUGAGACCUGAGCACUCAGCCCUGGGAGGGCUCCUCAGCCACGUGAGCAGAUUCCAGGAUUACUAUUUAAAAGCUCAAAACCCCGGAGUCAGCUCCUCCCCCGAGUCUAAAGAUUAAAAAAAAAAAAAAAAGUCAAAUUUCUCUGCUUGCUGUCUGGGUUUUUGAACUUCUGCUCUUCAUAUUUUCAACCACAAAAAUCCAGAAACCUCAUGUUUUAAUGGAAAGGGAGACUUGUAAUCUGAUAACAUAACCCCAGGGGCUGUGUGUAAAAACUCCAGGGCUUGUAUGAACAGGCCAUUCCAAGAGCUUAAAGCACAUCCAGAGCAAAACCAGGAAUAAAAUGUGACCCCUGUUCUCUGGAUGUGCUCAACAUGAAAUGUUUACUUCCUAUUUUAGCUUGCUGGCAUCCUUCACUUGCCACAGCCCUGCCUGCCUCUGCUUCAUGGGAAGGAUGCUGUGUUGGGAAAGAAAUCCCCAAGGAAGUUCUUUGCCUGGAUGGUUGGUUGAACCUCCCCAGCAUGGCAGAGAUGCCCCAGCUACAAGGAACCAUCUCAGCACACAAAGGAAACAACAAUCUGGGCUGGAGGAAGUCACUGAAACCCUGAGUGAACCUUGAGUGCAUGGGGAAAUGGGUCUGAUGCUUUGGCUCAGCCUGACCUGGAAACCUGCUCCUGGUGUGUCACAACCACAGCCUUGACAGGUGGAAGCAAAAUGAGCAGUUCAAGUGACAAGAGCAAGAUCACCUUGCAGACCCUGAUCCACUUGUCUGUGAAGAGAUCAGGGUGUUGGAUCAGGGCCUUGAGAACAGCAGUUUUAGGGCUGACAGCAGCAAAUGCGUGCAAGAUUCUGGGAACAGGAUCUCAGAUUUAACUGAAUUGAAUUCCAGAGUGGAAGCAAGUGACCUUUCCUGCUCAGGGCACAGAGAGGUGCUGUGAGUGACACAGAAGCCGAGGAAGGUUUAGGAAGGAGCAUUUAUUGAAGCUGCAAGGGGCAGCCUGAUACUGCAAAGGAUGUUUAUUUUCCCAGAUCAAGUUGAAAACUCACAGCAGCUUCCUGCAGUUUAUGGAAUUAAAUUCUUGGACCAGGCUCAGAAACACCAGACUGAGAAGAAACAUUUAGCAAAGGUCAGUCACAACUAUUUACAAGGGGUGUACACGUGACACAGUAAAACUUGCACUGAAAUAAACCCCCCAGCCCCUCUCCCAGAAGGUCCCAUUUGGAUGCUGAACUGCUUUGAAAUUGUUCUGCCGAAAACUUUCUCGACACCAAUGUGCUCCAAAAAGUUUCCAUUACGCUGAAACUGCAUUUCCCAUUGGAAACCUCUUUGGUUCAAGCAUUUCCUUGUCUCUGCUGAUGCUUCCUGGGUUCGUGCCCUGCCCCAGGAUUGUUCUCUCUGUGACCAGCAUGUGACAAGGCUUAAAUAAGUAAUGAUUUGUGAUGUGCCUUGAUACCCUCUGAUAAAAGCUGCCCAGAGCACUGUGCGUUACAGUGCCGUGAUUUCUCUACCUAUUUCUUCAGAAUGCAUUAAAUGUGUGGGUGCUCCAGUUAUUAUUUCCUCUAACAGUUGAUAUUUUAACCUGCUGUAUUUUUAUCUUGGCUGCAUUAUAUAACAAGUUAUGCUGGUGUCAAUCUGGAAGCUCCAGCACAGUCAGUAAAGCUAAUCCAGUUUAACACAAGCCUUAG